rnacentral:tRNA from 1 species
GGGGUUGUGGCUCAAUGGUAGAGUGCUUUCCCAGCAUGUAUGAAGCACUGGGUUCGAUCCCCAGCACCACA